AUGAAUACCAUUUGACAGUGUUGUCGCUGGCUCUUUGGAGCAUGUGCACGCCUGUCUUGGAUUCCAUUUAUCCACCUGUGCACCAUUUGUAGGCUUUUAGACGGGAAUUGAGGAUUGCUUUGAGCUCUCCUCUUUAGAUCUGCUCUGAAGUCUAUGUAUUUACUCAUAAACGAAUAACAUGGAAUGUUUUAAUUGCUAUAAAAUGCUAUA
rnacentral:misc_RNA from 1 species